rnacentral:rRNA from 1 species
AAUACGUUCUCGGGUCUUGUACACACCGCCCGUCAUACCAUGAAAGUCGGUAGCACCCGAAAUCCCCGCUUGCGGGGCCUAAGGUGAGAUCGAUGAUUGGGGUA